UCGCGGCUUAUCACCGGCAGUCCCCUUAGAGUGCCCAACUGAAUGAUGGCAACUAAGGGCGAGGGUUGCGCUCGUUGCGGGACUUAACCCAACACCUCACGGCACGAGCUGACGACAGCCAUGCAGCAUCUGUGCGUGCUCCCUUGCGGGUCCUCACCCUUUCAGGUUCGUACCACGAGCAUGUCCAACCUGGGUAAGGUUCUUCGCGUUGCGUCGAAUUAAACCACAUGCUCCACCGCUUGUGCGGGCCCCCGUCAAUUCCUUUGAGUUUCGACCUUGCGGCCGUACUCCCCAGGCGGGGUACUUACUGCGUUAGCUGCGGCACCGACGGUAAACCGCCGACACUUAGUACCCAUCGUUUAGGGCGUGGACUAC
rnacentral:misc_RNA from 1 species